ACCCGCUGAACUUAAGCAUAUCAAUAAGCGGAGGAAAAGAAACCAACAGGGAUUGCCUUAGUAACGGCGAGUGAAGCGGCAACGGCUCAAAUUUGAAAUCUGGCCUCUUUGGGGUCCGAGUUGUAAUUUGCAGAGGGCGCUUUGGCGUUGGCAGCGGUCCAAGUUCCUUGGAACAGGACGUCACAGAGGGUGAGAAUCCCGUACGUGGUCGCUAGCCUUCGCCGUGUAAAGCCCCUUCGACGAGUCGAGUUGUUUGGGAAUGCAGCUCUAAAUGGGAGGUAAAUUUCUUCUAAAGCUAAAUACUGGCCAGAGACCGAUAGCGCACAAGUAGGGUGAUCGAAAGAUGAAAAGCACUUUGGAAAGAGAGUCAAACAGCACGUGAAAUUGUUGAAAGGGAAGCGCUUGCAGCCAGACUUGCCUGUAGUUGCUCAUCCGGGCUUUUGCCCGGUGCACUCUUCUGCGGGCAGGCCAGCAUCAGUUUGGGCGGUUGGAUAAAGGUCUCUGUCAUGUACCUCUCUUCGGGGAGGCCUUAUAGGGGAGACGACAUGCAACCAGCCCAGACUGAGGUCCGCGCAUUUGCUAGGAUGCUGGCGUAAUGGCUGU
rnacentral:rRNA from 1 species